rnacentral:lncRNA from 1 species
UCUUCAUCUUUGCAUCACUCAUUUUACGUGCCCAGGUACCACGGAGUCCCUUCAACAAACGGCUGUACCCCACUUUGGCCCAGGGGUAGGAAAAAAGCUCCAAAUUGUCGACAAGAGAAAGCGUAUCCUCAUCAAUGCCAACAUUAUUGUCCGGAGCAGUGAUAACUCCUUCCACAAUCAGAGCAAGCUCGAGCUUGUAUCUAUCUGCCCGGGGUGUCGACACGCGAACAAAGAUCUUCUCCAAUUGGGCACAUGAAAUCUUCUCCAGCGAUUUGAAAUACUUUUCCUUGAGUCUCCUCUUCUCCAAUGCUUUUUUGUACUGAUCGCCCUCCAGAAACGAGCCAGCAUGUAGUCCAGUGAUGAUAGCAUACUCCUGCAGUCCAAACUGGGUAAGGUGGCCCUGCACGUUGAACCACAACUCGUGGGACUUAUCGCAAUGGAUCCCUCUGCACACAAGUGCCUGGAUUAGUUGAGCGAAAAAUUGGAACUCUAGAACGUCAGCAAGAAACCCAAGGCAGGAGUUGCGAAAGUCAGCUCGUAGUCAGUCAUCCAAGUGAUCCAUCACCAUUUUAAUGUACUCCAGGUUGCUCCAUUGCGAGAUG